GACGAACCGUCCAAACGUUAUUCGGAAUUACUGGGCUUAAAGGGUGCGUAGGCGGCCUGACAAGUUGGGUGUGAAAUACCUCGGCUCAACCGAGGAACAGCGCUCAAAACUGUUAGGCUUGAGGGAGAUAGAGGUGAGCGGAACUUAAGGUGGAGCGGUGAAAUGCGUUGAUAUCUUAAGGAACACCCGUGGCGAAAGCGGCUCACUGGAUCUCUUCUGACGCUGAUGCACGAAAGCUAGGGGAGCAAACGGG
rnacentral:rRNA from 1 species